GCCUCUAUAGAUCAUUGUUAGAUCACCUCAGCAUCAUGGAUGACUACCUUCACGACGAUAAUUCCGAGGAGACGUAGGUUCAACUCCUACUGGGGGCG